AUUUGCCUCAAUGUCGGCCCUAUCGCAUUCCGGAUUCCGCUGUGUCGCGCUCUUAUACAAGCGAUCAGUUGCCGAAACCGCGGGGGAUUUUUGGGAGGAAGUUCGACACAGGCGACUUCGACCAAUUUUAGGUCUUGCAAUCCAGGAAUCUAUCUGGAGUGUCUAAGCUAUGGGUAAAGAUUCUAAGCCCAAGGAAUCAGCAAAAAAGGGGAAGGGAAAGCAGCCUUCUAGUGGAGAGGAAGAGAAGACUUCCAAGGGUAAAGGGAAGGGUGGCAAGUCGGGAGAUGAUCUUGGCACCUGCACCUAUGUUAAAGCAAGGCAUAUCUUAUGUGAGAAACAAGGGCAGAUCAAUGAAGCAUACAAGAAACUGCAAGAAGGUUGGUUGAGCAAUGGAGACAAGGUCCCGCCUGCAGAGUUUGCUAAGGUUGCGGCAGAGUACUCAGAAUGCCCCUCAGGAAAGAAAGGUGGAGAUCUUGGAUGGUUUCCUAGAGGGAAAAUGGCAGGGCCGUUCCAGGAAGUUGCAUUUGGCACACCAGUUGGAGCUACCACAGCACCUUUCAAAUCAACGAUGAGGGGAGCUCGCAUGGAUAUUUCAGAGGAGCUGCUUGAGCUUUUGGAGAUAUCAACUGAGCUCAAGGCUUUGAGACAGAGAAAGAGGAUUCUUUUGGAGAGACGACGAUAGCUUUGAGCAGGCGCUGCUUCUUCUGCGAAGGACUUGGCUUGGAUAACUGCUGAGGUUGAGAGAUUAAAGCAGAAUUUGUUGUCAUCCACUGAGGAGUUUAACUUGUUGCAUCAUCAGUUGGAGACCACUCAAACUAGGAAGAUGAUGCUGCAGGAUCGUUUGCUCAGAAUUAAACAGGAGAUUCGUAGCAUCCAGUUCAGACUUUGACAGCUUUUUUGACUUCUUUCUGGCAUGGAUAUCAUAUCAUACUGUGCGAGGGGAGGAAGAAUUAAUCAGACUGCGCACUCAGUUCGAAGCUGGUUUGUUCCUUUAGACUUCCUCUUAUGCCUCGAAACUCAAGAGGAAUAAUCUUAUGAACAGUUGUUUUCUGUUGAAUGAUUGGUCAUCGUGAGUUGUAGGAAAUGCUUCUGAAUUUAUGUCGAUGGUUCUUAAUCCAUAAGGAUUAGAACGCGAAUAUAUAUCAUAAUCACUGUGACCUUGUGACGCUGUCUUCAUCUUCACAGUUUUUUUC